rnacentral:rRNA from 1 species
AGCGAACGUUUGCGGCGGGCCUAACACAUGCAAGUCGAACGGGCUAGCAAUAGUCAGUGGCGCACGGGUGCGUAACACGUGGGUAAUCAACCCUUCAGCUCGGGAUAACGCCUUGAAAGGGGCGCUAAUACCGGAUGCGACGCGAGGAGCCUCGGCGCUUCGCGGGAGAGAUUCGCAAGGAUCACUGAAGGACGAGCCUGCGGCCCAUCAGCUAGUUGGAGAGGUAAGAGCUCACCAAGGCGAAGACGGGUAGCUGGUCUGAGAGGAUGAUCAGCCACACUGGAACUGAGACACGGUCCAGACUCCUACGGGAGGCAGCAGUGGGGAAUAUUGCGCAAUGGGCGAAAGCCUGACGCAGCCACGCCGCGUGAGCGAUGAAGGCCU